rnacentral:SRP_RNA from 2 species
GGUUGGGUCUUACGCAAUGGAGACUCAUGAACCCCGUCAGGUCCGGAAGGAAGCAGCGGUAAGUGACAAUCUUCAUGUGCCGUGAGGGUGCCUGAUUUGC